rnacentral:misc_RNA from 1 species
GAUGAAGAACGUAGCGAAAUGCGAUACUUGGUGUGAAUUGCAGAAUCCCGUGAACCAUCGAGUCUUUGAACGCAAGUUGCGCCCGAAGCCACUAGGCCGAGGGCACGCCUGCCUGGGCGUCACACGCCGUUGCCCCCCCAUCUACUCCUUCGGGAUUGCGGGGGGGCGGAUGAUGGCCUCCUGUGCGCCUAGCCGCGCGGUUGGCAUAAAUACCAAGUCCUCGGCGACGCACGCCACGCCAAUCGGUGGUUGCGAAACCUCGGUUGCCCGUCGUGUGCGUUCGUCGCGCAUCGAGGGCUCGAAAAAAUGCUCGGCUCCGGCUGGGCUUUCAACGCGACCCCAGGUCAGGCGGGGUUACCCGCUGAAUUUAAGCAUAUCAAUAAGCGGAGGA